rnacentral:tRNA from 1 species
GCCGGGAUAGCUCAGUUGGUAGAGCAGGGGAU